GGUUGAUCCUGCCAGUAUUAUAUGCUGAUGUUAAAGAUUAAGCCAUGCAUGUGUAAGUUUAAAGACCUAGUAGGAUGAAACUGCGGACGGCUCAUUAUAACAGUAAUAGUUUCUUUGGUUAGUAAGUACAAGGAUAACUUUGUGAAUGAUAAAGCUAAUACUUGAGACGAUCCGGGGAGUACUCGUACUUUCCGGCCGGUGGUCGCAAGGCUACCGAGAAGUGACAUUCUCUUGUGAAAAAGGGUGCCAUGACAAUUGAGGAAAGCGACGCUUUUUACAAGUAACCAAUGGG
rnacentral:rRNA from 1 species